AGAGCGAACGCCGGCGGCGUGCUUAACACAUGCAAGUCGAGUGCGCGCCUGUAGCAAUACAGGUGGCGCACGGCGCACGGGUGCGUAACACGUGGGUAAUCUGCCCUUCGAUGGGGAAUAACUCCGGGAAACCGAAGCUAAUUCCGCAUAACAUUCCUUGGACCUCGGUCUGGGGAUUCAAAGCCGUAAGGCGUCGGAGGAGGAACCCGCGCACGAUUAGUUAGUUGGCAGGGUAACGGCCUACCAAGACUUUGAUCGUCAGC
rnacentral:rRNA from 1 species